rnacentral:lncRNA from 1 species
AAUUUUCAGAUACGGUCAAAAUUGAUAGGAUUCAGUUAUCAGAUAAGAUACCGACCGUCCCUAGAGCAAGUGGCAAAGGGCUUGGUGGUUGGUAUCUGAGACCCAAGUUCGAAUCCUAGUUGAUUCACAUUUCCAGCUAAGUUUAUUUCUAAAUGAAAUAAACGAAGCGGGUAGCGUGUUAUCUAUCUCUCUCAAAAAAAAGAAGAAGAAAAAAGUAGGAGUUUAUUUGGUAGUAGUAGUAGUGUACAUUUCGGCCUACCUGUAGACUUUGACUUGAGAUCUCAGGGUUUUAAAGUUUAUCAUCUUCAACUGAGAGAUCAUUCAAAUCUAAUCUUCCAAGGUCAGAACGAUUCGAGCGGCCGAAUGUAGGUUAUUUAUUUAAUUUUUUUUUUGAGAGAAAGGUAGCAUGCUACCCGCUUCGUUUAUUUUAUUUAGAAAUACACUUAGCUGGAAAUGUGAAUCAAUUAGGAUUCGAACUUGGGUCUCGGAUACCAACCACUAUGCCUUUUGCCACUUGCACUAGGGACGGUCGGUGGCCGAAUGUAGGUUAUUGAUCUAUAAAAUACCUCUACUUUGAUCCAAAAGGGUGGUUUAAUAUAUGGAUUAAUCGAUAAUUAUAAUGUAUAAUAGAAACGUUAAAAUAAAUUUUGGGUCGAUUUUUAUUAGAUUGAUACUGUAGCUAAUAUAAUACCGAGCUAAUUUUAAACCCUAUAUGUUAUAAUAUGUUAUGGUAUAAGCAUAUAUUCCUAUCGAAUUAGGCUACUAUAUUAUCUAUAGUAUCGGAGCUUUGGUACUAUAAUUUUGUUUUCGAUCUUAGGGUGUUCAAAUUAAUGAUCCACAGUAUUAAAUAUGAUUUAGGGUAUAUGAAGUUCUUAGGAAUAAAAUUUUAGUUUUUUUCGACAUCGUUUACUUAGUAAAUAAAUUAUGUCAAAAUAGAUGGUGGAAAUCGAAUAAUCUUUAAAAUUUGAGUAUAGGACUUUUAAAUUCAAGAUCAAGAAUGUUAACCUUAAUCUAAAUAGUUUAAAGUAUUUUCUAUCAAAAUUUGAAGAAAUUUAGAUUCUUCUACAUCGUUAAACUCCAAACUCGUCGUAGUAGCCAUUGAAAAUUGACAAUUUUGAAAUGGUUUGAUCAUAAAGUAAAUUAUGUCGAAAAAAUAUAAAAUUUUAUUUCUAAAAAUUUUAAAUACCCUACAUCAGUUUUAACGUUGUGGAUCGUUGAUUUGAACAUCCUAAUAUCGAAAACAAAACUAUAGUACCGAAACCCCCGGUACUAUAGAUAGUAUAGGAGACUAGUUCUAUUCCUGUCUAUUAUUUUUAUAUCUUUUUUGUUAUCUCUUUGGAAAAUCUCCUUGGUGAAGCAUAUGUAAGAGAAGUUAUAAAGCUAGUCAAUAUACAAAGCAUUUUUCAUAUAGAACUUAUCUGAAUUAUAAACUAUUUUUAAUUGGCUAUCCACUUUUAAAUCUUUUAUUUUACUAUCCAACUUUUAGUUCGCUUGAUUUAAGUCAAUCAACAAUGAAUGUGCCGUUUAUCUUUACAUAUUUAGUUAGUAUAUUUCACACAAUUCUUGCAAUUACAAAUUUAUUAAAUUAAAAUAAUUAGUUUAAAUUUUUAAGUCAAAAUAUCAUUAAUUGACUUAGAUUAAAUAAAUUAAAAGCCUGGAUAGUAAAAUUAAAAUUUUGAAAUAUUGGAUAGUCAAUUA